rnacentral:rRNA from 1 species
GAUGAACGCUAGCGGCAGGCUUAAUACAUGCAAGUCGAGGGGCAGCAUGGGUAGCAAUACCUGAUGGCGACCGGCAAACGGGUGCGGAACACGUACAGAACCUUCCUUUGAGCGGGGGAUAGCCCGAAGAAAUUCGGAUUAAUACCCCAUAGUAUUUUUGUGUGGCAUCACAUAAAAAUUAAAGAUUUAUCACUUAAAGAUGGCUGUGCGUAUGAUUAGGUAGUUGGUUGAGGUAACGGCUCACCAAGCCUUCGAUCAUUAACUGGUGUGAGAGCACGACCAGUCACACGGGCACUGAGACACGGGCCCGACUCCUACGGAGGCAGCAGUAAGGAAUAUUGGUCAAUGGACGCAAGUCUGAACCAGCC